rnacentral:rRNA from 1 species
AUUGAACGCUGGCGGCAUGCCUAACACAUGCAAGUCGGGCGGAUGAAGGUAUCUUGCUCCUGGAAUCAGCGGCUGACGGGUGAGUAAUGCCUAUUAAUCUGCCUGCUAGUGGUGGAUAACGUCCCUAAUCGGGCGCUAAUACCGCAUCCGUCCUGAGGGAGCACGUGGGGGAUCUUCGGACCUCACUCUAUCAGAUGAUCCUAGGUCGGAUUAGCUAGUUGGUGGUGUAAAGGUCUUCCAAGGCGACGAUCCGUAACUGUUCUGAGGGAAUGAUAAGACACACUGGAACAGAGACACGGGCCAGGCUCCUACGGGAGGCAGCAGUGGGGAAUAUUGGGAAAUAGGAGAAAGCAUGAUCCAGCAAUGCCGCGUGUGUGAAGAAGGUAAUCGGAUUGGAAAGCACUAGAAGUUGGGAGGAAGGGCAGUAAGUUCAGAACAAGCAGUAUUGACGGUACCAGCAGAAUAAGCACCGGCUAACUUCGUG